rnacentral:lncRNA from 10 species
AGACGUUGAUGGGAAAUGGCUGACAGCAGGAUAAACAAGCAGCUCCCUUUUUGGUGAGCUUCAGGGGAAUCAGGUGGACAGAAUCAAGGCUUCAGACCCUGAACUAAAUACUGGAGUGUCGAGAUCAAGAAGGCAUGAUUCCCGCCCUUAGGAGUGCACCAUCAAAGGAGGUGAGGAGUGCAUCUCCUCACAGGAGGAGACAG